rnacentral:lncRNA from 1 species
GGGGCCUCCAGGUAGGGAAAGCCGCACUGGAGAACCGUAGAUUAAACAAAGUAGUUAUUAUUUCCCUUAUCUUCUAUUCUUGAGUGAAUUUGCUUGAUGGUUUGUGGUCAAAGACCAUUUUCUUGGCUAUUUAAGCCCUCUCCUUGGCGGUUUUUUACACUCAAAGCAAUUCAGAAUUGUGGUAAUAAUGGUUUUAGAGUAUCUUUAGCUCUUUCCUUAUCAUAUUAGUAGUUCACCGAUUAGUAGGCUUACCUUCGUUAC